GACGAACGCUGGCGGCGUGCUUAACACAUGCAAGUCGAGCGAUGAAGCACCUUCGGGUGUGAAUUAGCGGCGAACGGGUGAGGAACACGUGAGAAAUCUGCCUUCAACACUGGGAUAACUCCGGGAAACCGGGGCUAAUACCGGAUAUGAAACCUGCGGGCAUCCGCGGGUUUGGAAAGUUUUUCGGUUGAAGAUGAUCUCGCGGCCUAUCAGCUUGUUGGUGAGGUAAUGGCUCACCAAGGCGACGACGGGUAGCCGGCCUGAGAGGGCGACCGGCCACACUGGGACUGAGACACGGCCCAGACUCCUACGGGAGGCAGCAGUGGGGAAUAUUGGGCAAUGGAGGAAACUCUGACCCAGCGACGCCGCGUGCGGGAUGAAGGCCUUCGGGUUGUAAACCGCUUUCAGCAGGGAAGAAGCGAAAGUGACGGUACCUGCAGAAGAAGCACCGGCUAACUAUGUG
rnacentral:rRNA from 1 species